UACGGAGGGAGCUAGCGUUGUUCGGAAUUACUGGGCGUAAAGCGCACGUAGGCGGCUUUGUAAGUUAGAGGUGAAAGCCUGGAGCUCAACUCCAGAAUUGCCUUUAAGUACUGCAUCGCUUGAAUCCAGGAGAGGUGAGUGGAAUUCCGAGUGUAGAGGUGAAAUUCGUAGAUAUUCGGAAGGAACACCAGUGGCGAAGG
rnacentral:rRNA from 1 species